UACGAAGGGGGCUAGCGUUGCUCGGAAUCACUGGGCGUAAAGCGCACGUAGGCGGAUUGUUAAGUCAGGGGUGAAAUCCUGGAGCUCAACUCCAGAACUGCCUUUGAUACUGGAGGAUCUUGAGUUCGGGAGAGGUGAGUGGAACUGCGAGUGUAGAGGUGAAAUUCGUAGAUAUUCGCAAGAACACCAGUGGCGAAGGCGGCUCACUG
rnacentral:rRNA from 1 species